AUACCGUGAAACUGCGAAUGGCUCAUUAAAUCAGUUAUCGUUUAUUUGAUAGUACCUUACUACUUGGAUAACCGUGGUAAUUCUAGAGCUAAUACAUGCUGAAAACCUCAACUUCGGGAGGGGUGUAUUUAUUAGAUAAAAAACCAACGCCCUUUCGGGGCUUCUUGGUGAUUCAUGAUAACUUAACGGAUCGCAUGGCCUUGCGCCGGCGACGGUUCAUUCAAAUUUCUGCCCUAUCAACUUUCGAUGGUAAGGUAUUGGCUUACCAUGGUUUCAACGGGUAACGGGGAAUUAGGGUUCGAUUCCGGAGAGGGAGCCUGAGAAACGGCUACCACAUCCAAGGAAGGCAGCAGGCGCGCAAAUUAUCCAAUCCCGACACGGGGAGAUAGUGACAAUAAAUACUGAUACAGGGCUCUUUUGGGUCUUGUAAUUGGAAUGAGUACAAUUUAAACCUCUUAACGAGGAACAAUUGGAGGGCAAGUCUGGUGCCAGCAGCCGCGGUAAUUCCAGCUCCAAUAGCGUAUAUUAAAGUUGUUGCAGUUAAAAAGCUCGUAGUUGAACCUUGGGUCUGGCUGGCAGGUCCGCCUCACCGCGUGUACUUGUCCGGCCGGGCCUUCCUUCUGGAGAACCUCAUGCCCUUCACUGGGCGUGUUGGGGACCAGGACUUUUACUUUGAAAAAAUUAGAGUGUUCAAAGCAGGCCUUUGCUCGAAUACGUUAGCAUGGAAUAAUAAAAUAGGACGUGCGGUCCUAUUUUGUUGGUUUCUAGGACCGCCGUAAUGAUUAAUAGGGACAGUCGGGGGCAUCAGUAUUCAAUUGUCAGAGGUGAAAUUCUUGGAUUUAUUGAAGACUAACUACUGCGAAAGCAUUUGCCAAGGAUGUUUUCAUUAAUCAGUGAACGAAAGUUAGGGGAUCGAAGACGAUCAGAUACCGUCGUAGUCUUAACCGUAAACUAUGCCGACUAGGGAUCGGGCGAUGUUCUUUUUCUGACUCGCUCGGCACCUUACGAGAAAUCAAAGUUUUUGGGUCUGGGG
rnacentral:rRNA from 2 species